GAUGAAGAACGUAGCGAAAUGCGAUAAGUAAUGUGAAUUGCAGAUUUCAGUGAAUCAUCGAAUCUUUGAACGCACCUUGCGCCUUGUGGUAUUCCACAAGGCAUGCUCGUUUGAGUAUCAUUAAAUCAUCAACUCUAAAACCUUUGUGGUUUUUUUAGAGCUUGGUCUUGAGGGUUUUGCAGGCUUUUUUUUUUUUCGAGUCUGCUCCCUUUAAAUGCAUUAGCGAGACUUCCCUAUGCUGAACCGUCUCUUUGACGUGAUAAUUAUCUGCGUCGAAUUUUGGUUCUCGUUGGGCUUGCUUCUAAUCGUCUGUUAAAGACAAAACGGAUUUGGGUGCAUAUAUGCGCCUUUUUCCAAAACCUUUUUUGAUCUCAAAUCGGGUAGGACUACCCGCUGAACUUAAGCAUAUCAAUAAGCGGAGGA
rnacentral:misc_RNA from 1 species